GACGAACGCUGGCGGCGUGCUUAACACAUGCAAGUCGAACGAAGUGGCGAAAGGGUGAGUAACGCGUAAUCAACCUGCCCUUCAGAGGGGGACAACAGUUGGAAACGACUGCUAAUACAGCAUACUGAAGGAGGGGAUUGCGUCUGAUUAGAUAGUUGGAGGGGUAACGGCCCGACAAGGCGAUGAACAGUAGCCGGUCGGGGAGGAUGAACGGCCACAUUUGGACUUAGACACGGCCCAGACUCCUACGGGAGGCAGCAGGUGGGAAUCUUCCGAAAUGGACGAAAGUCUGACUGAGCAACGCCGCGUGAGUGAUGACGGUCUUCGGGUUGUAAAGCUCUGUUAAUCGGGACGCGGUACCGGAAUAGAAAGCCACGGCUAACUACGUGCCAGCAGCCGCGGUAAUAC
rnacentral:rRNA from 1 species